ACAGUGGACGCGAGCAUCUGUGGCCAAGUUUUUAAGGGCGCACGGUGGAUGCCUUGGCACCAGGAACCGAUGAAGGACGUGGGAGGCCACGAUAGUCCCCGGGGAGCUGUCAACCAAGCUUUGAUCCGGGGGUUUCCGAAUGGGGAAACCCGGCAGUCGUCAUGGGCUGUCACCCGCUGCUGAACACAUAGGCAGUGUGGAGGGAACGAGGGGAAGUGAAACAUCUCAGUACCCUCAGGAAGAGAAAACAACCGUGAUUCCGGGAGUAGUGGCGAGCAAACUGGAUGAGGCCAAACCGUAUGCGUGUGAUACCCGGCAGGGGUUGCGCAUGCGGGGUUGUGGGAUCUCUCUUUCACAGUCUGCCGGCUGUGAGACGAGUCAGAAACCGUUGAUGUAGGCGAAGGACAUGCGAAAGGUCCGGCGUAGAGGGUAAGACCCCCGUAGCUGAAACAUCAGCGGCUUGUUUGAGAGACACCCAAGUAGCACGGGGCCCGAAGAAAUCCCGUGUGAAUCUGGCGGGACCACCCGCUAAGCCUAAAUAUUCCCUGGUGACCGAUAGCGGAUAGUACCGUGAGGGAAUGGUGAAAAGUACCGCGGGAGCGGAGUGAAAUAGUACCUGAAACCGUGUGCCUACAAGCCGUGGGAGCGUCGCGCAAUCGAGCUUGCUCGGUGCGUCGUGACUGCGUGCCUUUUGAAGAAUGAGCCUGCGAGUUAGCGGUGUGUAGCGAGGUUAACCCGUGUGGGGAAGCCGUAGCGAAAGCGAGUCCGAACAGGGCGUUUGAGUUGCACGCUCUAGACCCGAAGCGGAGUGAUCUAGCCAUGGGCAGGUUGAAGCGGAGGUAAGACUUCGUGGAGGACCGAACCCACCAGGGUUGAAAACCUGGGGGAUGACCUGUGGUUAGGGGUGAAAGGCCAAUCAAACUCCGUGAUAGCUGGUUCUCCCCGAAAUGCAUUUAGGUGCAGCGUCGUGUGUUUCUUGCCGGAGGUAGAGCACUGGAUAGGCGAUGGGCCCUACCGGGUUACUGACCUUAGCCAAACUCCGAAUGCCGGUAAGUGAGAGCGCGGCAGUGAGACUGUGGGGAUAAGCUCCAUGGUCGAGAGGGAAACAGCCCAGAGCAUCGACUAAGGCCCCUAAGCGUACGCUAAGUGGGAAAGGAUGUGGAGUCGCAGAGACAACCAGGAGGUUGGCUUAGAAGCAGCCACCCUUGAAAGAGUGCGUAAUAGCUCACUGGUCAAGUGAUUCCGCGCCGACAAUGUAGCGGGGCUCAAGCGUACCGCCGAAGUCGUGUCAUUCAUACACAUAUCCUCAACGGGAGUAUGGAUGGGUAGGGGAGCGUCGUGUGCCGGGUGAAGCAGCCGCGGAAGCGAGUUGUGGACGGUUCACGAGUGAGAAUGCAGGCAUGAGUAGCGAUACACACGUGAGAAACGUGUGCGCCGAUUGACUAAGGGUUCCUGGGUCAAGCUGAUCUGCCCAGGGUAAGUCGGGACCUAAGGCGAGGCCGACAGGCGUAGUCGAUGGACAACCGGUUGAUAUUCCGGUACCCGCUUUGAAACGCCCAGUACUGAAUCAGGCGAUGCUAAGUCCGUGAAGCCGGCCCGAUCUCUUCGGAGUUGAGGGUAGUGGUGGAGCCGAUGAACCAGACUUGUAGUAGGUAAGCGAUGGGGUGACGCAGGAAGGUAGUCCAGCCCGGGCGGUGGUUGUCCCGGGGUAAGGGUGUAGGACGUUGUGUAGGCAAAUCCGCACAACAUGUGUCUGAGACCUGAUGCCGAGCCGAUUGUGGUGAAGUGGAUGAUCCUAUGCUGUCGAGAAAAGCCUCUAGCGAGUUUCAUGGCGGCCCGUACCCUAAACCGACUCAGGUGGUCAGGUAGAGAAUACCGAGGCGUUCGGGUGAACUAUGGUUAAGGAACUCGGCAAAAUGCCCCCGUAACUUCGGGAGAAGGGGGGCCAUCACUGGUGAUCCGAUUUACUCGGUGAGCUGGGGGUGGCCGCAGAGACCAGCGAGAAGCGACUGUUUACUAAAAACACAGGUCCGUGCGAAGCCGUAAGGCGAUGUAUACGGACUGACGCCUGCCCGGUGCUGGAACGUUAAGGGGACCGGUUAGCUGCCUUUCGGGGUGGCGAAGCUGAGAACUUAAGCGCCAGUAAACGGCGGUGGUAACUAUAACCAUCCUAAGGUAGCGAAAUUCCUUGUCGGGUAAGUUCCGACCUGCACGAAUGGCGUAACGACUUCUCGACUGUCUCAACCAUAGGCCCGGUGAAAUUGCACUACGAGUAAAGAUGCUCGUUUCGCGCAGCAGGACGGAAAGACCCCGGGACCUUUACUAUAGUUUGAUAUUGGUGUUCGGUUCGGCUUGUGUA
rnacentral:rRNA from 1 species